rnacentral:lncRNA from 1 species
UUUUCUUUAGGUCUACUGGUGCAUAUAGCAGCUGUCUUAAUAUCAUAAUUCUGCUUACAUUUUCUGCCUUCCUAAGAGAAGCUGCAUUCAGCGUCUGUUUAAGUGUAGCUGCAUAAGCUUCCCACCACUGACGACUCCCUGUAUGGAAAAAAGGUGAUUCUACAGAGAUCUCUUCCAAGAAACAGGAUGGAAAACAGGAUCAGAGAGAAUUUGUUUCUGAAGAACCRUUGGAUUUUUUGUAGCUAAAUUACUAAAGUGAUCUGCAAGGCCAGAAAGCCAUGAUGGCUCCUGUGAAUGGUGUGCCUGGAGCAAUGCUGAAGAGAGCCAAGAGCCGGGAAGGAAGGAAAUUGAGCCAUGCAUGCAGGCAGGGUAAUGCUGAAAAGGGUAUGAGUGGAUCCAGGGACCUGCUUCUGCAGGCUCUGCUGAGCCAGGUAAUACCAGCAGGCUGGGAGUGGG